GAGCUGCUACCAACAUUUACUGCAUGCAGCUCUGUGCCAGGCUCUUCACAUGUUUUCUUUAACUCUUACAACCUUGUUCAGCAGGUAUUACUGUUUGCAUUUUAAGAAUAGGCAAACUGAGACUCAUUCAAUUUGCCCCAGGUCACAACCAGUAAACAAUAACUUUAAAGGCCCUUUGAAGUUGAGUCUUCAUCUAUCUUUCCAGUCUUACUUCCUGCAUGUCCUUACCCCUGACAUCUGCUUACACUGGAAGUUUUAGCCACACAAGCUUCUUGCUUUCCUGGGAUAUACCACAUGCUUUAUACACAUCCCUAUCUAUGCACAUUCUGUUCCCUUGGUCUGGAAUGCAUUUCUACAGCUCUCUGCCUGCAGCUGUUAUUUGCAAAGGCACAGUGUGCCUGGCUCAGUUGCAAGAUGUGCAGUAAGUGCUGCUAAUAAUAAGGUACUUAGGUUUGUGAAUAGCUCUCUUAAAACAAAGAGAGAGAAUUCAAGGUUAGCCCUGUCCCAAUGUCUCCUUCAGUGACUGACAUUCUAAUCUCUGUGGAGUGGGUCAGAGAGGUGAAGACACAGCUGACAUGCUGAGAAGGGGUGUAACCUGGGGCCUGCUGUCUCGUCUCUGCUAUGGCCGGUAGUGAGCAAAAAUUUGUGUUCUGUGAUCUUACUGUUGUAUGUGUCUUCUACUGAAAAUUACUGACGGAUACAGUUCUUAUUAAUACAAGAACACAAGGAUGAAUGAAGAACAGAGAGCCUUUAGGGAAGUAACCUCCACUUCCCAGUUUCAAGCAAUUCUUGUGCCUCAGCCUCCUGAGUAGCUGGAUUACAGAGUUACAUCUCCUCCAGCAUACUGUAAGCAGCCCAGAGGCAGGGACAGCGGUGGAGCAUCACACAGCCUCCACAUGAAAACUGACGUUGGGGAGAACAAUGUUUACUUUGCCAGCAGGGAUGGUAGUAACUGCCGUUGACAUUAUGUCCAACAGUGGCAUUUUGUCAAGAUAGUUCCUUAUCUAUUUUUAAAGAGUUAUUUACCUUUUAUAAAGAUAGUUCAUUCUACUUUGUAAGAACACUAUUAUACUACUCUAUUAUACAUAAAUACAAAGUUAAUAUAUACUAUUAACUUUGUAUUUAUGAACUUAUCCUGAGUUCUUAUAUAUUUAGAUAUUAGUUUCUUCUCAUUUUUAAAUGUCAAGGUAAAAUAUUCAUUAUUAUAAUAAAAUUACAAAUAUGACCAAAAAACAUGCAAAACAUAUGAAGAUACAUCACAUUGGCUGAAAUGAGCUGGACUCUAGUAAAGUAACUGAUAGCGGAAUAUACUGAUUGCUGUGGUCAUUGUACUGCAUGAGCAACCUUGGAGAACAUGGCUAUUAAGAACAUAGUGGUUUUCAAUAAUGUAUCAUAAUUAUAUCAAAUUUCAAAUACAUAGAAUGCACAUACACAAUUUGCUUUAUAUAGCUUUUCUUUCUAAGCUGCCAAACAGCCUCUAGGCCUCUUGUGGACUGCCAAUGUGGAAACCACUGUUGUAAGAUUGCCCCUUUUAGAAAUGAAAUAUGGGGUUGAGCUGGGAGCCUAUGGUCAGGUCCUCUGGAAGCCUUGGCUUUACAAUUCUACUUUACUAUGCUCUCUUAAUUGAUGAAAUAUUAGCUAAUGCAUAUCUACUCUUCCUUCUUUUCAUAUACAAAUCCAUGAAUAUAGUAUUAUUCCCAGUCCUAAUUUCUUAGAGUAGAAAGCCUUGUAGGGUGAUAUAUUACUUAUUGUGUACAGAAACAUUUACAUAUGGAUUUCUAGAUACCUUAAUGGAGGAGAAAAGAACAACAAAAACAACCCUUACAAAUUGAAAUCGAAGGUAUUUAUUUGUAUUUAUCGUCAAGUUGCUUUACGAUAUCAUAUUUCUUGUUAAUUUUAUGUUAAAUUAACAUAUAUUCUGAGACUUUUUGGGUGAUAUCCACAAAAAUCUUUGAUCCCACAAGUAAAUACUCUUGAAGAUAAAGAAAACCCAAGCAAGAAUCACUGUCUUAGAACCAAGUUAUACAUUCAGAUAUAAAAUUAUGUGGGAAGUAUUUCAUAAACUCAGUUCUGUAAUAUUGUUGUUGCUGUUAUUAUUAUUACUAAGCAUUUUAUUUUAAAAUUAAAAUUUAACUUUAAUAAUAACAUUUUAAAAUUAAUUUUAGGAACUAGCUGUAAGGGUCAAAGUGGUCUGACUCUUGUGUUAAGGUCAUGAUGAUGAUUUAGAGUGAGGGCUUUUUAAUCAUUAUGCCUUCUUCAGUUUACUGUCUUCAUUACUAUGAGGAUGACCAGAGUCAUUCUGGGCUCAGCUUCCCAACUGGAGACAUGGCCAACCUCUCAUCUACUUUUGGCAAUUGGCAUUCACAUCUCUGUCAUUGGCUGUCACAAGGACUUGGCCUGGCAUGUUUGAAAACCCCAUGGCUGGGGAGGGUGAUAUGGUAAUCUGGUAGUUCUGAUAUUGUUGGACUAAUUUUAAAAUAGACCAUAUAAAGUUCAUACAAAAGCCAGAGGGAGGAGUUAAACUGGAAAUCCUGACAAAAUCAGUUGCUCAGAUGCUAACAGUCCUGGAAUGGAAACGCUGGGACCAAUCUGUGGUUUUGGCCAUUUCCUCCUGAGAGUUGAGUGGAAGUUUAGAAUAGCCUCUAGUGACCCACGUUUUAAUGAAGAGUAUAUUUUCUUUCAUAACUGAAACUUUGUUUUUUUUUUUUGGUCUCUCUGUUUUUAAAAUUUAUUUACUAGCAAUUAGAAGUGGCUUCUUCUCACCUUUAG